rnacentral:lncRNA from 1 species
GGACAUCUUAUCCAUAUGGAUAAGAGAACUGGGGAAGAUAACUUCUUUAACCAGUAGGGAAAGGAGGAAGUCUUCCUGAAGCCUGAAUUCAAGAUCCUAAUAACAGUUCUGAUUUAUUGAUCUUAGGAAGUUCCAGAAUUGCUCCCUCUACUGUCUAUACCAUGAGGAUGUUUUCCUGAAAGAUAGAAUGGAGCUGCCUUCGUUGUCAAGAUUCAGGAUAGCCCCAACCAAGAUUAUUGCCAGAGAAAGAGAGAAACUCAUCAGGAGAAGGUGGAGUACAUACACUGGAUCACCGGGAGUAGCUGAAGGACCUGGAUGACCUGGAGGAAGGCACUUUGACCCAAGAUGAAGCUAAUGUGAUGAGCCACUCUGGCUCAACUAGGCUCGGAGAGAAAUAAGUUGAGAAUGUUGGAGUGCACUGAAGGUCUUCAUUUGGAAGUCCCAGUACGUAUCACCCUUUGACAAGAUUAGCUUUGGGGAAGAGGAAUGGCCUCACCUUGCAGGCUUGUUCAGAGACCUUUUUCUGGCAGUGGAAAAACAUCAUCUCUCAGGCCAAGAGGGACCAGGGAUAUCGCGCAGCCAUGAGAAACAGCGUAGUGAACUGACCAUACCCUUUGCUUGCUGUGUGGAACUGUGACUGAUUUCCCUUGGGCUAAGUUCCCAAGUUUCUUAGAGGAUUCAAAAGGUAGGAUGUGGGUCUCCUGCUAAUAAGGCUUAUAUGGGUUAGAACAAUUCAUUAGAAAAAAAUAUCAAAGGAAUGGAUUUUUGGAACAAGUCAUAACUUGUUAUACUCAAAUAUUAACAGAUAUUAUGUUAUACUCAGAUACCUGCGGAAUAUCUCCUUUUGGAUGCCCCCAGGCACAUCAAAACUCAAGUCCAACAUGGAGUUCAACAUCUUUCCCAUUAGCCAACAAUUUACUAUUUCUCCUCCAUUCUCUGUCUCCAUUUUUUUUUUCUACAUCAUCUUCCAAGGUGCCUGAAACGGAAAGCUUAUAGUCAUUCUAAGCGUUUCUUUCUUUGGAUAUUUCACAUCAAAUAAUCAUGAAUUAGCUGCUUUUAACCUCAAAUGUGUCUCAAAUCCAUUGUGUCUACUGUGUCCCUGUGGCUCCUGCUGCAGUGUGGUCCUCAUGAGGUUUUGGUCAGACCAUUGCAAUAAGGGGAUUCCAUAUCUCUAGCCUGGCAUGCUCCAUUUCAUUUUCCAUUUUGCUACUAGACAAUUACAUACUUUUCUUGAACAAAAAAAAAGAAAAGGCUUUCAGUGGCUUAACUAAUAUUUCUUUUAGGAUGAAGUCUCAAAUCCUUAGCAGAGUCCGCAAGUCCUUCUAUAAGCUCAAUUUUGCCUACUUCUACCACUAGACUAAGAUUUUUGAAGGAAGACUAAAUUUAUUGCUUUCUUUUAAAGUGCCC